GAAAUUGUCUUUUUGAUGCUUGAACAAUAAAAUUUUACUAAUUAGUACUUCAGUGACUUAUUGGUUUUACUUGUUAUUUCUGAACAUUUGAAGUUAAUGGUGUCAUAAAUGGGAUCCAAAGAAGACCCAUCCGGUGACUGAGACCGGUGAGCACCCAAGUACUGAUGCCUCCUUCAGCGUGAUGCCUCCUUGCUGACCUUGGAGUUUUACGCUUCUGGAGAGAAGAUCUUUGGGUCUAUUGAUAAACAUGUUUUCUGCCACAUUGAAGAAUUAUUGAAGAAUAUACUUCUAAAAAUUUUGAACUGUAUUUAUAAGUUUGCUAGUCUACUACAGAAUGCUAGUACAUGAUAGGCAGUUCGCAAUUGCCUGCUUCCUGGUUUUCACUGGAUAGCAAAGAUUACAAAAGCUCAAUAUAUAAAAAUAAAAAUACUAGAAAUAAUAAAAGGGAAAGAAAAUGACUAUAUAUGAAAAGUAGGUAAGGAAACUAGAAUGUGUUUUCAGAACAAUACAUAAAGGACAUUUUUUUGUGUGUGAAAGAAAAAAGUAAUUUUUUUUCUAGAGUAAAAUGAUUGUUCAAGAAUAAGAAAAGAAAAAGAUAGGACCAAACCUAAAUGGAUAUAGUAAGAUGUAGAAGGUUUGUGGAAAAACAAUUUUGAGAAUAAAAUUUUAUUUGUAGUCAAGCUAAGAUCGCAAUGGAUUAAUUUAAGUUAAAAAGAAGAAAGGGAGUGAUAUCAGCAUUUUGGCAAUGUGAGCCAUUCCCUUUGUCGUACCCCCCCUUCACAAGUUAUAACCAGAAGGAUAUCCAUUUCUCAACAAAAGUUCCUCUACACAUGCACACCAGGAAGCCUGAGAGAUCCGUACAUCUGUACAUCUGAAGGUGGGUGGAUUGGACCUAGUGGAGGGUUAACCAGAGGGGCAGUGGCAGCAGAGCCUGUGACUAGAGUACCCAGGAACCGUGGAGGCACCUGAAACCAGAGGGUCAGUCAUGGCAGCAACACUUGUGUCCCGAGUGACCCCCUCCCCCACCACAGCAACACCUGUGACCCCCCUCCCCUGCAGUGGCAGCAGCACCUGUGUACUGAGAUUCCAGGAACCAGAGGCCUCAAAUGCUGGCUUUCAGAUAUAAGGUAGGAGAAACCAAAAACUUAAGUUACAGCGCCAACUACUGGAAAACAGAAGAAAGGCCUUUAAUUGCCAACCUGUUGAAAUAUAAGAAUCAAGAUAAACAACCCCCCCCCCAAAAUAGGUAAACAAAACCCUACCUAAAUAAGAAAAGUGUUCGUUACUUCAAAUGCUCCAGCAGAAAAACUCUAAAAACACCAUUAAAAAUUACAGUAACAUAAUUCAUAAUUUCACAAAAAGAAAAUGACAGUUCUCAAGGAACCAAACUUAAAGUCUGGGAGAUUGCGAUCUAACUGACAGAGAAUUCAAAAUAGCUGUCAUGAAGGAACUCAUUGAGCUACAGGAAAACUCAGAAAGACAGUUCAGUGAGCUCAUGAGUAAAAUUAAUGAACAGAAGGAGUACUUGACCAAAGAGAUUGAAGCUCUAAUAGAAACCAAACAAGAAUUGGAGCUGGAGCUGAAGAAUUUAGUAGAUGAGAUUAAGGAUGAAAUCUUGCUUUUUGUGACAACAUGGAUGGACCUACAGAGCAUUACACUAGGUAAGUCAGAGAAAG